rnacentral:tRNA from 1 species
GCCUGGGUGGCUCAGUCGGUUGAGCGUCCGACUUCGGCUCAGGUCAUGAUCUCGUGGUCCGUGAGUUCGAGCCCCACUUCAGGCU